GCAGCAUGAGACUGGAAGGCCAACAGCCAAAACAAAAAGGUUUGGUGGAAAUUCUCACCAGAAAUAAAGAGGUUGUUUUUGUGAUGAGAACUGCAAAAUGUACAACGACUGCUGUCCUGACCUCCACAGCACCUGCAGUAACAACUUUACAUUACAUUAUUUCACACAAUAUAACUGAAGUGGCAUUUACAGUUGUUUAAAUUUUACAGAUGUGAAAGUGACAUACAGACAAUGAUUUGUUCUCUUUAUUAGAUAUGGUAAUAACUUAUAUUUGCUCUUGAAAUCCUGUAAUAAUGUGCAAUUGUCAGAGGAUGUAAAUCCAAACUCUAUGAAAUGUAUCCUAAUACCGAGACUACUCGUAAAUUAUGAAUUAUUCUCAAUUAUUCUUAUCUUGAAUACUAGAUAGUAUGUGAAUUGAGAGACCACUUCUGGACCUGCAGUUUCUCACCUCAUAUCUCUUUUUUCUGCUUUGAUAGAGUUUCUUAAGAGCGAAUAAUACUGACAUCUACUCUUUUGAGGUCACAAGAAUUGAGCCGCUAUCACCAUGUGACUAAGACAGAAAUCAGCCAAAAGGGACAAACAUAAAUAAAUCCUCAUUGAUGCAUGACUUUUACUAGUUUAAUAUGAGAUCUGAUUAUUUAUAGUGACGGAUCAACAAAAAUUUUGCAUUUGCUAACAAUACUUAACUUUUUGAUUGUGCUUUAAUCUUAAACAUUCAAGCAUUGUAGAUGUGUGAAGCAAACUAUGUAAAGAAUGUGUAAAGAAACAUCAGAUUGUUUAUCUGUUCUAAUGUAUUUCCUUGUUCCUCGUUCAUUUGCACGGAAAGGGGAAAAAACCUACUGUUUUAACAUUGUCUUCAUUUUUGAGAUUCCUGUUUGUUGAUUGCACUGAAAAUUAACACAUGAUGGCUAACUCUUGUCAACCCUAACAAUUAGAAAAUUAAAACAAACCAUUAAAACUGUCA